rnacentral:rRNA from 1 species
AUUGAACGCUGGCGGCAUGCCUUACACAUGCAAGUCGAACGGCAGCACGGGUGCUUGCACCUGGUGGCGAGUGGCGAACGGGUGAGUAAUACAUCGGAACGUACCUUAUCGUGGGGGAUAACGCAGCGAAAGCUGUGCUAAUACCGCAUACGCCCUGAGGGGGAAAGCGGGGGAUCGCAAGACCUCGCGCGAUUAGAGCGGCCGAUGCCUGAUUAGCUGGCUGGUGGGGUAAAAGCCCACCAAGGCGACGAUCAGUAGCUGGUCUGAGAGGACGAUCAGCCACACUGGGACUGAGACACGGCCCAGACUCCUACGGGAGGCAGCAGUGGGGAAUUUUGGACAAUGGGGGCAACCCUGAUCCAGCAAUGCCGCGUGAGUGAAGAAGGCCUUCGGGUUGUAAAGCUCUUUUGUCAGGGAAGAAACACCGGCUCUAACACAGUCCGGGAAUGACGGUACCUGAAGAAUAAGCACCGGCUAACUACGUGCCAGCAGCCGCCGUAA